UACGUAGGGGGCUAGCGUUGUCCGGAAUCAUUGGGCGUAAAGCGCGUGUAGGCGGCUCGGUAAGUCUGCUGUGAAAGUCCAGGGCUCAACCCUGGAAUGCCGGUGGAUACUGUCGGGCUAGAGUCCGGAAGAGGUGAGUGGAAUUCCUGGUGUAGCGGUGAAAUGCGCAGAUAUCAGGAGGAACACCAAUGGCGAAGGCAGCUCACUGGGACGGUACUGACGCUGAGACGCGAAAGCGUGGGGAGCAAACAGG
rnacentral:rRNA from 1 species